rnacentral:rRNA from 1 species
GGGGAAUCUUAGACAAUGGGCGCAAGCCUGAUCUAGCCAUGCCGCGUGAGCGAUGAAGGCCUUAGGGUUGUAAAGCUCUUUCAGCGAGGAAGAUAAUGACUGUACUCGCAGAAGAAGCCCCGGCUAACUCCGUGCCAGCAGCCGCGGUAAUACGGAGGGGGCUAGCGUUGUUCGGAAUUACUGGGCGUAAAGCGCACGUAGGCGGACUGGAAAGUCAGGGGUGAAAUCCCGGGGCUCAACCCCGGAACUGCCUUUGAAACUCCCAGUCUUGAGGUCGAGAGAGGUGAGUGGAAUUCCGAGUGUAGAGGUGAAAUUCGUAGAUAUUCGGAGGAACACCAGUGGCGAAGGCGGCUCACUGGCUCGAUACUGACGCUGAGGGGCGAAAGCGUGGGGAGCAAAC